UUCCUCAAAAUAUUAAACACAGAGUCACCACGUAACCCAGAAAUCCCACUCCUGAACGCCAAGAGACUCGACAACAGGUGUUCAAAUAAAAACUUGUGCAGGAAUGUUCGCAGGAGCAGUGUUCCCAACAGAACACGGAGACCAGUGUCCAUUAUAAAUGAGUAAAUAAAGUGUGGCCUAUCCUUACAGUGGAAUAUUAUUCAGCAAUAAAAAACUAAGUACUGAUACGUGUUACAGUGUGGAAGAGCCUGGGAAACACUGAGCUAAGUGAAAGAGAUCAGUCAGAGAAGACCCACAUAUUAUGACUCCGCUUAUAUGAGAGGUCUGGACUAAGCAGAUUCAGAGAGACAGGAAGCAGGUCAGCGGUUGACCAGGACCGAGGAGCGGGGCUGUGUGGUGGGAAGAAAUGGGAAGUGACUGCUCUUGGGUUUCUUUCUGGGGUAAUGGAAUGUUCUAACAUUAGAUUGUGGUGAUUGUGAUGUACAGCCCAGUACAUAUAUCUUAAAAUACUUAAUUAUACACUUGGAAUGGGUGCAUCGUACGGUAUGUGAGUCUCCAGAAGGCUUUUUAAAGUGAACAUAGCGGCUCUCCCUGGGUGCUGAGCUUUUUUGCUUUUUAUCUUUUUGCUCACCUGUGUCUUCUACAGUGAACAAGUGUUUCUAGUUGUCAGAAGAAGGGAAGUUAUUAGUUUAAACAGCUUGUCUUGGCAAGGUAACGUCUUAGAAUUAAGUGUAGAAGUUUGUGGGUUUAAGACCAGUAACUGCAGAGGAAACUGCUCCUUUCUCCCCGACCAUUUCCUGCAUCUCAUCAGCCUCUACUGUAAAGUAGAGGAUGGUUUUUCUUUUUUUUUUUUUUUCCAUCAAAUAAUGAAAUCUGGUGGGUGUUCUUACUUUUUUCAUCUUGUGUGGUGAUUCAUUCUGGCUGAACGCCUUUCCAUUUUUGAUUUUUCAUUGUUUGCUGCAGCCCGAGAACCUCUGUGCUUUAAGAUCUUAGUUUGGAUGGGAAUGCAUUCAUUGUGGUUUCACAAAUUGGGUUUAAGACUUUAAUCCACUUCAGCACAUCCUUCCCUGACUCCAUGACCAGUUAGCAUUUGGGGUAAUCCCUUCACAGUGAUAAAUACAAGCAACAGUGAAUGUGUUUUGCAAAAAAAAAAAAUCUUAAAUUUCAAUUUGACAGCAUAAUAAUAUACUGUGGGAAUUAAAAUGACUGUGUUAAAAUAGAUUAUAAAUAGUCUGAAAGAUUAUAUAAAAGUAUUUUGAAGAAAUGGAGAUUUUUCUCUUUAUUGUAGCAUAAGUUAAUAUGUUGAUUAAUUCUUUUUGGCAGGUGGGUGAAUCAGUCAGUAUCAGAUGAUAACUGGGUUUAAGGAAAAUAAGUGUGGAGUCAUACUUGCUUAAAAGAGAUAUACUUAGUCGAAAGGUUACAUUGCUUAAACAGAAAAAUCCAUGAAGAGGUAAUAAUAUCAGAUUUUCUUCUUAGAAACCAUGAAAUUAGAAAUGACUGCAUUAAUACUGGAGGGGGGCGGGGGACACAUAUCACAAAAUCUGGUACAGUUCAUCGAAAGACAAUUCCAAAAGCUGAAAGCAUUAUAAAAUAUAAUUACUAAAAGCAUUAUAAAAUAGUAUUAUUAUGUGAAGCAAGAAGAUAUAUUUGUAUGAAAUUUUGCAAAAAACUUCAAGUUUAAGGUUUUUGCUCGUGUUUGAAUUUGUAUCCUUGAAGUCAAUGUUGUGAAAAACAGCAGGAGUUCUGCAGAGGCUCCUGGAAAUGGGGAAUGUGCGUGGCAGCCUUCAAUUUUCUACCAAGGGGUGAUUUCAUUUCAGAACUGGGUCAGGAGUUUAAAAAAAAGUGGGGAAAAAACUUAGAAAGCAGUGCUGGCUUUCAGUGGUCACUUGUGUAAACGUCUACAUCUUUGCAGUUUGAAUUGGUCAGUGGCAACCUCCCCCUGAUCUGAGGUGGAAGAGGGAAGGCCCUUAUAUGGCGAUGCAGGCAGACCACAGCUGGGCUCGAACCCGGGGUCAGAAGUGUUUACGACAGGAUAACCCAGACACGUGUGGAGAGCCCAGACCGCAGCCGUGUGGGGGCCCCGGAGACUUGGCUUAAGCCAGGACCAGAGGACGGGGCGUGGGGGAAGUGCCAGCAGGGUCACACAAGUCUCACGUUCCCUCCCAGGACCACUAGGUAAUAAUUACUCCGGAGGAAAAGAUGACACAGGCUUUAUCAGAGCCCUUUGCUAAGAUCGCCCGCCUGUGUCCUGUCUGCCUCACCCACUCUGCUCAGAUUCCUUGGAGGCAAAGACCCUGGAGUUUCCCUUUGUGUCAACAACACCUUUGCAGUCCAAAAAUAUUUGAAUGAUUUGCAAGGAUUUAAUCAUCUACCAAGUUACUGCCUACAGGAUAGGAAUCUAUUUUCCAGUUGCACGUAGUCAGUCGUCGGCCCUCAGGAGAGAGAGCUGCGCACUGAGGAGCCUCUCUGGGGAGAAGACAACCAGGCUCCUGCCCCUAAAUUCUCCGCCUUCUCACUCGUGUCCCUGCGCCAGGAGCUCCUGUUGCUGAGUCCCUUAGUCGUGUCCAACUCUCUGCGGCCCGCCAGGAUCCUCUGUCCGCAGGAUUCUCCAGAUAGAUUUCACGAUGACAAAAAAAGAAGAAAGACUCGCGGGUCAACCACGGAGGAUGCUAGGGAACUGUGACAUAAGGAGAAAUGGGUAUGAACAUGAAUUCAAAAGACCAAACAUUUCAAACCAAACAGCAAAGCCAUUUGAAGGCAGCCUCCUGGUGGGCAGCGCCUCGUGCCCUGGGGUCACUUCUCAAAUCAAGGUGAAAGGUGAAGUCUACGUGGAGACGGGAGGAAGGUGAAAGGCCCUUCGCCAGCAUCCCUGGUAGGCAACCAUCCGCUCUCUCUAUGGGAGCGCCUCCAGUAGCUGGAAAUCUCAGCCACAUUCCGCGUUUGGCAGGUGGGUAUGAAGUUACUGCCGCAUCUCCCAGGACAGUGUUCUCACCCCCAGAGGCCCUGACUCCUGCCUGGGGUCCGGGGAGGCUGCGGGGACAGCCCUCCGGUCAGACCAUGUCAGCACCUGGGGGCAGGCAAGGCGAGCGGCUGGGGCUUUUCCGUGGAUGCCGUGGGGCCCUGCUGGGCUGAAAGUGUGAUUUCAGUGGUUAGAAAGUGAGAGCAUGUGCUAAUAUAUUUAAAACUGGUUCUGAAACCACUCUCUUAAGAAUGAACUUAAGCUUGCUGGGGGGAAGGGAUAGUUAGGGAGCUGGGGAUGGACGUGUCCACACUGCCGUAUUUAAAAUGAGAUAACCAGCAAGGACCUAGUGUUGACCACAGGGAACUCACCCCGUGUCAUGUGGCAGGCUGGAUGGGAGGGGAGUUUGGGGGAGCAUGGAUACAUGUGUAUGUAUG